rnacentral:rRNA from 1 species
UACAGGGGGUGCAAACGUUGCUCGGAAUCAUUGGGCGUAAAGCGCACGUAGGCGGUUCGUUAUGUCGGAUGUGAAAGCCCUUGGCUUAACCGAGGAAGUGCAUCCGAAACUGGCGAGCUAGAGUACGAAAGAGGAUCGCGGAAUUCCCGGUGUAGAGGUGAAAUUCGUAGAUAUCGGGAGGAACACCGGUGGCGAAGGCGGCCAUCUGGACGACGAUUGACGCUGAGACGCGAAAGCGUGGGUAGCAAACAGG